GCCUGAGUGGCUCAGUCAGUUAGGCAUCUGACUUUGGCUCAGGUCAUGAUCUCAUGGUCCGUGGGUUCGAGCCCCACAUCAGGCU
rnacentral:tRNA from 1 species